rnacentral:rRNA from 1 species
GUCCUGGCCCUAAACGAUGUCGACUAGAUCGUGGUAGCUCUGACGCUUUCACGGUCGAAGCAAAAGUGCUAAGUCGACCGCCUGGGAAGUACGGUCGCAAGGCUAAAAACUCAAAGGAAUUGACGGGGGCUCACACAAGCGGUGGAGCAUGUGGUUCAAUUCGAAGCAACGCGCAGAACCUUACCUGGGCUUGACAUGCCAGGAUUAUCCCCAUGAAAGUGGGGUAGGCCCUUCGGGGUACAACUGGUACAGGUGCUGCAUGGCUGUCGU